AUGGUGCUGUGGGGAAGAGGGAAGUGUCAGGCAGCUGAGAUGGCUCUGCUGCUUCUCCUACCACAGCUUUCAGCCACGGGUGACGCCAUAAAUUCCCCUACUCUGGUUACUGUAAAGUCUUUCAGGGUGGUCAGGACUUGAAUUCCUCACACAAAAGAAGAAGCAGGGGAAGAGGAAACUGCAAGCAAGGGCCUUCCCCACCUCAGGGAUCUGUCACAAGGACUCAGCAAGGCUCCAAGCGUGGUUUCUUGCUCUGCAGUCUCUCAGCUCAAGCCUCCUGGGUAAGUGCCCCUCACUCCCCUCUCGCCAGUGAACACCCUCCUCCCAGCCUGUGCUUCCCACUCAUGCUCCAGCAGGUCCAUCUGGCUCCUUGGCCCCUCUGAUCUGCAGGUUUGUUGUUGCACUUCAGCUUUGGAGUAACCAGAAGAGGCAGAGCUCAUCCAGCAUCGCAGAGCUGUGGGGAUGGCACUGGGUCCUGUCCUGAGCUGUAUGGCACUGGUGCUCCACCAGCUCCCAGCCAGCUUCCAUCCUGGACCUCAAAUCCAGCUGCUGUGUGAGACACAAGUGAGCUUCUGUGCCACCCCACACCGCCCAGCCUCACCUGAGGGCUGUGCUGAGAUGUCAUGAGAGAAGAUCAGUGAAAAAUCAGCAGCCAAGUGUCAGCACUGCCAGAGAAGGUCCUUGCUAAGGCAAGUUCCACCACGGAGCAGGACGAGGACAGGUCAUUUUGCAGAAAGCCAUAGUGACCAUGGCUAACCCCACCCCAAGCAUGUGAGUCUUGUGAAAGGAGUAAAUACACACUUCUCACAACCCUCUGCACUGGGGAAAGGGCCUUCUUGGAAUAAAGGAGCAAUCCAGGUUGGCUUUGGAGAGGUAGGGACAUG